rnacentral:misc_RNA from 1 species
UCCGGUUUAGACCGGCGGUCUCCCUAGAGAUUUCAACUAAGGACAAGGGUUGCGCUCGUUGCGGGACUUAACCCAACACCUCACGGCACGAGCUGACGACAGCCAUGCAGCAUCUGUGCAUGCUCUCUUGCGAGUCCCUCAGGUUUCCCUUUGGUACCACAUGCAUGUCAAGCCGAGGUAAGGUGGGGAUGACGUCUUCUACG